GGGUCGAUUCCGGAGCGGUCAAACGGGUCAGACUGUAAAUCUGAUGGCUCAGCCUUCGGUGGUUCGAAUCCACCUCGGCCCA
rnacentral:tRNA from 1 species